AGUGAACGCUGGCGGUAGGCCUAACGCAUGCAAGUCGAACGGCAGCACAGUAAGAGCUUGCUCUUACGGGUGGCGAGUGGCGGACGGGUGAGGAAUACAUCGGAAUCUACUUUUUCGCGGGGGAUAACGUAGGGAAACUUACGCUAAUACCGCAUACGACCUACGGGUGAAAGCAGGGGAUCUUCGGACCUUGCGCGAUUGAAUGAGCCGAUGUCGGAUUAGCUAGUUGGCGGGGUAAAGGCCCACCAAGGCGACGAUCCGUAGCUGGUCUGAGAGGAUGAUCAGCCACACUGGAACUGAGACACGGUCCAGACUCCUACGGGAGGCAGCAGUGGGGAAUAUUGGACAAUGGGCGCAAGCCUGAUCCAGCCAUACCGCGUGGGUGAAGAAGGCCUUCGGGUUGUAAAGCCCUUUUGUUGGGAAAGAAAAGCAGCAGGUUAAUACCCCGCUGUUCUGACGGUACCCAAAGAAUAAGCACCGGCUAACUUCGUG
rnacentral:rRNA from 1 species